GCAGGUCAAACAGAACUCAGUUACUGCAAACCAGGAUCCUGCUCACCUAGAGAGGUGUCUCUGUGGACUCCUGGGUGAAGUCCUAGAGAAGCAAGCACCAUCCUGAGAAGUGCAUCUAUCUGCUUAAUAGACCUGAGAGUCAUUUUUCUGACACUGGGCAACACUGGGCAGGGGAGAUCAGUGAAGAGAGACAGAUUCCCCUCACACUCCGGGACAUGUUCCAUGAAGCCCCCUCAUCUGUCAUGUUCUCAGAGAUCAAUGAAGAAGAGUCAGAAAUGCUUGGUCAGAGUGAUGGGCUCAGAAAUGACUGGUCAAGGUUGGCACUGAAGUCCUGACAGAGCUGCUGGCGACCAUUCCUUGAAGGCGCUGCUGGCUGGAGGCUCACCCUGCUCCCAGGAGCCUUGCUCUGGGGCUGGUCACCCGUUCCUUUCCAGUCAGACUGCUGCUCCACACUAGGUAGACUGAGCCAAACAUGAAUGUUGUUGGGAUUUGCAAAUAAACCGGAACCUUUCAAACUUUCGCCAGCUCCGGGAUCCUGCCUUUUACAUCUUCUUGAGUCUUCUUGAGUCUGAUACCCAAAGCCACUGACUUCCUGAACUUGAAUGUCAAUCAGACAUCACGUGUACCCAGCUUUCCAAUGUACUCUCAGCAUCACCCCCCCUCUUCCUUUGCCCUAAUGCAGCAGUUCACAACCUCCCCAGUGCUGCGACCCUUUAAUACAGUCCCUCCU